UACAAUAGGGGUUAAUAAAUUUUAUUGGUUUUGGUAUUUUUAUAUUUUUAUGGGUUUGUUUUUAUUAUUUUAAGGUAAAAUUUUAAUUUUUAAUUUAUGCUUGGGAUUAUAUAUUAUACGAUAAUGUUGUUUUAAACUAGGAUUAGAUACCCUAUUAUUUUCAUUGUAAAUUUGUUGACCUUAGUAUUAAUAGUUAUAGUCUUUAAAUUAAAAGAAUUUGGCGGUAAUUUAAUCUUUCCAGAGGAACCUGUCCUGUAAUUGAUAAUCCACGUUGAAUUUUACUUUAAUUUUGUUUGUAUACCUCUGUCAUUGAAUGUUUUUAAAGGAUAUUUUCUUUUUUCUUUUUAGGGAAAAAUGUUAGGUCAAGGUGCAGCUAUGUUAAAGUUUGAGAUGGGUUACAUUGUUUAUAUUUUUGGAAAUUUUGUUGUAAUACAUUAUUGAAAUUGGAUUUGGAAGUAAUUUAUAUUAUUUAAUAUACUUGAUUUUGGCACUAAAUUAUGUACACAUCGCCCGUCACUCUCGUUUUAAGAUGAG
rnacentral:rRNA from 1 species